rnacentral:piRNA from 1 species
UAGGAAGAAUCAACACCCAUCUUGCAGGAC